GAUCCACUAGACUAGACGAACGUGAUUUCCAUAUUCCACGAGAGUCUAUGAUAGUCUAUACUAUCUAUAUCUAUACUAAUAUUAUAAAGAGGAGAGAUUUGUUUGUUUGUUUGUAUUGAAUAGGCUCAGAAACUACUAAACCGAUUCAAAAAAAUAUUUCACUGUUUAGAAGCUACACUAUUCCCGAGUGACAUAGGCUAUAAUGUUUUUUAAAAAAAUUAGAGAUCCUUACUAAAACUCCAAUAAUGUAACCCAAGGUGUAAAAAAAUUACCUAAAAUAUUCUUUACAUCGCGUGCCCUGCGAAGACUAUUGAUGAUAGAAUAAAAUAAUGUACUACGACUUUGUAGAACACAUUAUUAUUUACAAAUAGUGUCGCCACAGCAUAUGUUUAACUAUUAUAGUUAUGCCGCAAUAAGUGUUCUUUUAUUUAAAAAAAUAAAACAACGUCAAAUAUUGUUGAAAUUUUUCUUUAAGACCCGAGCGGAGCCGGAGCGGGCCGCUUGUGUCUAAUAAAAUACUAGAGGAUUUAAAAGCAUUAUAAAAUUUAAUAUCUAGGCCGCAUAACAAAAUAAUUAAUGUGAAACAAUACAAAUUCUUAAUACUGUACUCACAAAAUUCUAUUGCAAACAAUGUCUAGACUUCGUUUAAGACGCUACGGCGUAACUAGUGUUUACAUCAGUGUUUUGACGAGAGGUCAACGAGGUCACUUGCGUUGUACAUUUAAUUUAAAAACCGUUUGUGUAUUAAUAUUUUAUUUCGUAAUUUUACGUCUAAGAAAUUUAAAAGACAAGGUCUCUAUGGACGGCGCGAUUACUGGAGGCCAUAUACCACACAGAAUCAACACAAGUUUUCAAUGGAAAACUCAGCCCCUGCCGCUCCAGCCAUAGGAGGUCGUCGAGAACCAUCGACAGAUCCCGUGAAAGCUCAAGGAGUUUUGAACGCAUUGGCUCGCAAAACUAGAGACACAGCAAGGAUAUGGCGGGAAAGAUGGGGUUUUUACUGUCGAAUUGACAAAAUCCAAGAAGAGGAAGCAGAGAAAAUUGGUAUGACCAAGGACGAAUACAGGGCAGCAGUCCGUUCUAUGAGCAGCCAGCCAGAACCUAAGACAUCUCCAGUCGAUGUGGAUCCAUCUCCCAAGCCUCUUCCUCCAACAUCGACUGGUAUGAUUGGUCGUCGAGCUCAGUGUCCAUUGGAGCGGUACGGUCCUCUGGUCAAAACUGGUCGACAAUACUCUACGCGUCCACCAAUGAAACCUGGACAAGUUUAUGAUCCUUACAAACAGACAUUGGUGUUCUUAGGGAGUGUUGAUGGCGAUCCAAUAUCAUACAAGCUGCCUCCGUCGCGGUGCGAGGUGACAGACGAAAUGUGGUCACAGCCGCAACAGCUGACCGUUUCACCAUUUCAAUGGGAAAAUAUAGAAAAAACACUGAGUGAUUCAUAAAAUAACUAGAUCUUAAAAUAAUAAGCUUAAUUCCGUAAUCAAUAUAGUGUUAUCUAUACUAAUAUAUAAAUCUACAGUGGUUUUUACGGAUGUUCCGUUAUAACUACUGAACCGUGCAUCUGAUUGACUUGAAACUUAGUAUACAUGUAGAAAAUUCAUGUACUUAAUGGAUAGGCUAAUAUUUAUAUGAGUGUUGGACUCCCCACACCAGUUGCGGGGGCGUUAAUGACGAGAAUCUUUGUGGGAGUGAGAAAUAAUAAUGUUAGUUUUAAAUGCCCAGCGAAGCGAACGGGUAUAGUUAGUAUUAUUAUACAUAAGAAACUGAUUUUGGGGGGCGUUAAUGACGAGAAACUUUGUGGGAGUGAGAAAUAAUAAUGUUAGUUUUAAAUGCCCAGCGAAGCGGACUGAUACAGCUAGUAUUAUUAUACAUAAGAAACUGAAUUUGGUUUUUUGUUUGUUAUGUUACGUCUUAACUAUUAUUCAGGAUCGAUCAUGAACUUUUGUAAAAACGUUGUCCCUAGAAAAGUAAAUUGACGCACACAUUCCUUGGCUGUGCCCCUGGCGUUGCUAACGUCCAUGAGCGACGGUAACCACUUACCAUCAGGUAGGCCGUAUGCUCAUCUGCCUACAAAGGCAAUAAUAAAACUUAAGAAUUACUUUCAAAUUAAUAUUUUAAUAUGUAUGCAAACUGUUUCAAUUUACACAAACGAACUAGCUGACCCGGCAGACUUCGUAAUGCAUCAAACGAUAAAUAAAAAACCUAAGCUUCUGUAUAAAAUAAACAUAAAACAAACAAAAGUAAUCCGUCCGACGGGGGACACAUCAAAGGGAAAGGAAAAUUGUUAUUUUUACUUAAUUCCGAGCAUUUUCAUAUUGUUUCACCUUUUAAACCUCUGGACUUCCACAAACAAUUCAAGACCAAAAUUAGCCAAAUCGGUUCAGUCGUUCUCGAAUUUUAGCGAAACUAACGAACAGCAAUACAUUUUAUAUAUAUAUAGAUAAGCGAAGACUGGUUAAUCAAAUGUAGAAUAAUAAUAAUAAAUAAGGAACUGCAGCAACACAAAUUGCUGAAGGCGGGAAAAGAAAAUUAACGAGUGAUCUUAAUGCGUAUUAUCUGAAUUGACUGUUAUUUUUUUCUUUCAUCUGCUAAUUAAUAAUUGAUUGUUACCAAUAGAAUUGUUACGUAGUCUUUUUAAUUCAAUAAGAAUUUCGGUAAACAAAUAGAGAAAUACUUGUGGGAGCACAUUAUGAGUCCGCACAGGGAGGUACAUGUAUUGUGCUUUUACUACCGCAAAGAAGUCAUACGUUCCGAAGUGAAGGGCGAGACUGCCGUUAUACAAUUAAGCAUUCGACCUCAUUUUUUGGGGUCAUUGGUGACGUUCACGCUGUGAUAUCUACGGAGUCCGUAGCCGUUUUAAAUCAGAUGGGCUGUAAACUCCUUCACCUAUGUAUAUGCGCAGCCCAAAAAAUACUUUUUUUUUUAUUGCUUAGAUGGGUGGACGAGCUCACAGCCCACCUGAUGUUAAGUGGUUACUGGAGCCUAUAGACAUCUACAACGUAAAUGCGCCACCCACCGUGAGAUAUAAGUUCUAAGGUCUCAGUAUAGUUACAACGGCUGCCCCACCCUUCAAACCGAAACGCAUUACUGCUUCACGGCAGAAAUAGGCAAGGCGGUGGUACCUACCCGUCCGGACUCACAAGAGGUCCUACCACCAGUAAUUACGCAAAUUAUAAUUUUGCGGGCUUGAUUUUUAUUACACAAUGUUAUUCCUUCACCGUUGAAGUCAAUCGUGAACAUUUGUUAAGUACGAGUUUCAUUAGAAAAAUUGGUACCCGCCUGCGGCAUUCGAACAUCGGUGCAUCGCUAGAUACGAAUGCACCGGACGUCUUAUCCUUUAGGCCACGACGACUUCUAAAACUUUCAUCCAGAAAACAAGACGUACUAUUCUGAAUUAUUAUUUUUACACUAUAAAGAAGCGAGAACAGCGAAACGUUUGAUGGUAGCCCCUUUAUAAACCUACAAGCUUUUGCCCGCGACUCCGUCCGCGUGGAGUACUUACUUUGGCAUAACGCUAAAUUUUACCCCCCACUUGAUUUACGUAGAAAGUGAAAAUAUUUUUGAAUUAUAGAAUGUUAAGGAAGCUAUAUAAACCCCUAUUUUGAAAAAUUCUUUAUUGGUGCUCCAUUUGUAUUGGUCUUACCGUGAUUAGCAUCCAUUCAUAUAUUAGCCCAUUAUAUAGCCCAUUUAUUGAGGCUAUAGGCUACAGCUAUAUAGCCUAUAGUCUCAAUAAAUGGGCUAUCUAACACUGAAAGAAUUUUUCAAAUCGGACCAGUAGUUUCUGAGAUUAGCGCGUUCAAACAAACAAACUCUUCCGCUUUAUAAUAUUAGUAUAGAUAAUACAAUUUAGAAAACAUUUCCUAAAUAUACAAAUACUGAAAUAUGGUGAUCAAUAAGGCAAUAUAGGUAAUUUUUAUUUAAGUUUAUUGUAACAUAAAAGUAAAAACGAUUAUUUAAUUAACACUUCGUUUAUUUCUUAUCGCCACGGGAGGUAACAUUGACAUUAUAUUUUCUGGGAGUAUCUCGACCGUAACAGCUUCACUCUUGCCGAGCCAAUAAAAAUCGGAGAGAUACUGAAACAGAAUACGCUUUUUAAAAAUGAUUAUGAAAACUUAUCUAUCUCAAUCUUGGGUGAUAUAUAAAUAAAUAAAUUCUUUUUUUUUGAGGUUACACGUGCAUACUCGUUUUCGUUUAUUUUCCGAACUUUCUAUCCAAAUUUCUUCCUAGUUCCUGUUUAAAAUACAGUAAUUAAGGCAUGACUACAGAUAAGUUCUAGUAGGGGAUCAAAUGUUCCAUUUCAAACAAGUCAGAGCCGCCCCUGUGUAUGAAAACAUAACAUCCUUAUUUUUGGUCAAGAAUUCAUUGUCUAUGGAUUGUGCGAGGUGGAACAUUGCAAAUGGUUUAUAAACGGUUUAUAAAUAAUACUUAAAUUAAAAAAAACAUUGUUCGUUUAGAUAUCUUCAUUGAAAUGAAGAUAUUAGUAUAGAGAGAGUUAACAUUUUAAUUUUAUUUUCAUAGUGUAAAAUCCCUCUUUUUAUUGGAUAAGUGGUUUUGUAAAGAAGUCAACAGGAAAUUCAGAUAUUUUUAAGCCCAGUUGCAAAUAAAAAAAUUCGAGCAAUAACGACACGAUUGCGUUAAACAGAGAUAGAGACACUUGUCAGAUUAUUACGGACCUUACCCGGACUAAGAUCAUUAAUCUAUACACAGUUAUGAAGGUACAGUUUUAGUAAUUAGAUUAGCAGUUUUAGCAAAUAGAUCAGAUAUGAAUAAAGUUCUUUUUAUUUGAUAAAUACCUUCAUGGGAAGAAUAUGAUAACCUAGAUUCAUUUCGCCUGCGUCCGCCGAUUUCUUCUUUUUGGUUGGCUCCAUUUCAAACUGCACGGGCAAAGAGGUAAAUUAAAACACUGCCUGUGUAAUUUAUGUAAAAAAUUAAUCUAAUAUUUUUUUAUUGCUCAGAUGAGUGGACGAGCUCACGGCCCACCUGGUGUUAUGUGGUUACCGGAGCCCAUAGACAUCAACAACGUAAACGCCACCACCCGCCUCGAGACACGAGUUGUAAGGCCUCAGUUAUUACAGUACAACGGCUGCCCCACGCUUCAAACCGAAUCGCAUUACUGCUUCAUGGCAGAAAUAGACGGGGUGGUGAUGCCUACACCUGAUUUCUCAACAUGCCCUACCACCACUCAAUUUUUCUUUAUAUACCAUUAGCAAUAAUAAUGGAUGAGUUUGUGCAUAUACAGAAUAUAAAUUUAAAUGUAAAAGUGACAAGUUUUUUAAAUCAAAGUUAAGCAAAGACAACCCAACUAUUCAACCCUAUAAAUGGCAUCACUUAAUAUCCACGGUUGUAAGCAAAAACUUAAUUCUAUUGUCAUAUAUAAUAGAAUUAUAACGAAGAAAAAUUAUUACAAUGUGUUGUCAAGAAAAAAAUCUAUGAAAAUUCAAAAAAUUCAAUAUUUUUUUCGUUUCCCUUGUAGGCAGACGAGCAUACGGCCCACCUGAUGGUGAGUGGUCACCGUCGCCCAUGGACUUCAGAAAUGCCAGGGGCAGAGCCAAGCCGCUGCCUAAUAGUAUGUAAUGCAUGUGAAAGUAUUCUCACCUGCGCUUUCCUGUCCAAUACGAACAGAUCUCUCAAGUGUUGGAACACGACGGACUGGCCGCUCGGGUGCGGGUGUACGGACAGCACGCACUGCUUCGUGUCGUACCACACGGGGGGCAUGGCCGAGCCGGGCCAAUCACUGAAUUUUUUCUCGAACAAUUCAUAUUCUACGACCUGUGGAAAGUAAAAAAAAAAACACCUCGUAUAGAACGCUUAGUGAAGUGUACACUUAAAAAUAACGUGUUAUUUUUUAUUUAUUUAUUGCUUAGAUGAGUGGACGAGCUCACAGCCCACCUGGUGUUAAGUGGGUACUGGAGCCCAUCUAUAACGUAAAUGCCGCCACUCACCUUAAGAUAUAUGUUCUAAGGUCUCAGUAUAGUUAUAAUGGCUGCCCCAACUUUCAAUCCGAAAAGCAUUACUGCUUCACGGCUGAAAUAGGCAGGGUGGUGGUAUUUACCCAUGCGGACUCACAAGAGGUUCUAUCACGAGUAAAUAUUCAUUAAAAUAUAAAUAUAUAUUCCUUAAAAUUUGCUAAUGAAAUAUACAUAGAUACAAAAAGGCAAAUUGUAAUACCCUGUCAUUUCUGCCGCGAAACAACCAUGCGUAUCUGUUUGAAUAGAUUGAACAGUAAGAUUGAGGCUUUGAAUCAUGUAAUCAAGUUAGGUUUGGUAGCAUUCAUGUGGACGAGCUCACCCAUCUAUGCAAUAAAAAUAAAAUCAAAAAUCAAAAAAAUAUUCUAAUUUUAAACAUACCUUUCUGUCAACGUAUGCUACUAUCAAAGUCUCCUUUUCGGCAUCGACAACCAUGGCCGAUGGUACACAAUGAUAUUUCGGCAAUGUUAUAUAGUGUUCGAAUUUCUUUCCAAUUUGUGUCCAUAUUACUAUAUCACCUUGUGUGUCCGCUACCACUAAAUACACUUUAUUGCUAGGACAUUUCUUUGAUAUUUGAAAAUGCAAUAUUGAUUUGCAACUUAAAUCUGUAAGAACAAAUGAAAGAAGAUUUAUGUGUAUGUAUAUUAAAAUUAGAUAAAUCCAUUCUGUUCUCCAUGCAAAUGGUUAUUUAUAUUCUACUAAAAUUAUAAAUAAUAUAUACAUUAUAGAACGGCUGUACAUUACCAGGUUAAAAUAAUGUACAUUUGUUGAAUUUAUUUCAUAAAAAAACUGAGUACUUCAAAGCUAUCAUCAAAAUAAAUAUUUGUUUUUAUAUACUUAUUUACAGGCCCUAUACAUUACAAUUCAACGAUGUCAACCGAGCAGUAUAUAUUUUACGGUAAAAGUAGAUAUUGCGGUAAAUGUACACAUUUUCCGGUAAUUGUGCACAUUUGCCUCCUCAUUUGGGUAAUGUGCAUUCAACUAACAUUUACCAUUUCAAAGAAGGGAAAUGUACAUUGAAUUCACAAUGACCAUGUCGUUUUGGUAAAUGUGAGCAUGGCAUACAAAAUACGAAAUCGCAAGUACUAGUAAUGUGGUGCGCAUGCGCUUGCGCACUUCUACAACCUAACCUAUAACCUAACCUACGACAUAUUAUAUAAUAUGCAAAGAAAAGUAUGUUUUGUUUGUCAUUUACAUUUUUUUAAUUAAAAAAUUUUCGUUAUUAAAGUUUUUUUGUAUUAUGUUUAUUUAAAUAAAUAUGUUUUUACUGCAACAGCAUUAUUAAUUUAUUUGUAUUCCAAAUUUUCUUAAAACAUGAAGGAAAGAGUAUUGUAAGGUUUAUGAUUAUUUAUAUUAAUAUGAUUAUAUAGAGUGUAAGGUUUCUGAUUAUUUAUAUGAUUAUAUAGAGUCCUGUACAUAUUAAGAAUUAUUAUUAAAUAUGAGGUUUAUAUUGCAAACCAUUAAAAUAUUGUUAAGUAAUAAAUCCAACAGUUGACAAAUGUCGUCAAUAGAUGUCACAGGCUAACAAAAUUACAUCGCGGUAGCGUUGUGUGUAAAAAUUUGUAUAAGAAGUCCAAAGUAAUUAUGAAUAAAUCAAGAACCAAACGCAUCAAUGUAAAAUUGGCAGAUUAAAGCAAAGUGUGAACAAAGUUAGCCUGUUUAAUUUAUAUGUCUGACACCCAAAAGGUCAGAAGCGGGAUAAAUAAGGCUCUAGAAAACUAACCUUACUACGCCCACGGAUCGGUAAAACUUACGCUCAUCAUCUGUGACGUGGAGGACGACACUAGCCGAGGAGAAGGGUCUGGUGCUCGGCUAGUAAGAGGAAGUGGCUUAAUGAUAAAAGGAGCCCAUGUGCUUAGUCGAGGGGAAGGACUAACACAUAGGGAAUGACCAAGGAGCAUCCGAGGCUGAGGAUGUAGGUCACAUGUGCUUAGUCGAGGGGAAGGGCUAACACAUGGGAGUGACCAAGGAGCAUCCAAGGCUGAGGGUGUAGGUCAACAGGGAAGGAUUGGGAGGAUGAGCUCGCGGAUAGAGCAAGGAGCAUCCGAGGUUAGGAUGUAGGGUCCAUGUGCUUAGUCGAGGGGAAGGACUAACACAUGGGAGUGACCAAGGAGCAUCCGAGGUUAAGGAUGUAGGUCAACAGGAAAGGAUUAGGAGGAUGUGCUCGAGGAUAGAGCAUGGAGCAUCCGAGGUUGAGGAUGUAGGGCGACAGGAAAGAAUUAGAAGGAGGAGCUCGAGCAUAGAGCAAUAUGUAACAUUUGAUAAAAUGGACAAGGACACGAUGAUUCGAAGAGAACGGUUGCGUGGAAAGCGAUCGAGUGAACGACGAUCGCGUAAGCAGCGGUCGAGCAGGCAACAAUCAAGCGGCUCUGAUGACAGGGACGAAUACGAAA